rnacentral:rRNA from 1 species
UCGGGAAUUUUGGGCAAUGGGCGAAAGCCUGACCCAGCAACGCCGCGUGAGGGAUGAAGUAUUUCGGUAUGUAAACCUCGAAAGAAUGGGAAGAAUAAAUGACGGUACCAUUUAUAAGCUCCGGCUAACUACGUGCCAGCAGCCGCGGUAAUACGUAGGGAGCAAGCGUUGUUCGGAUUUACUGGGCGUAAAGGGCGCGUAGGCGGCGCGGUAAGUCACUUGUGAAAUCUCUGAGCUUAACCCAGAACGGCCAAGUGAUACUGCUGUGCUAGAGUGCGGAAGAGGCAACCGGAAUUCUUGGUGUAGCGGUGAAAUGCGUAGAUAUCAAGAGGAACACCUGAGGCGAAGGCGGGUUGCUGGGCCGACACUGACGCUGAUGCGCGAAAGCCAGGGGAGCAAACG